rnacentral:rRNA from 1 species
UAUUGGAAUGCCGAAUUCGAUAAGCUAGUGUAAGGUAAAGCUGCAAGCCGACGAUCAGUAGCUGUUCGAGAUGACGACAGCCCACUGACUGAGACACGGUCCAGACUCCUACAGAGGCAGCAGUGGGGAAUUCUGGACAAUUGAGGGCAUCCCUGAUUCCAGCAAUGCCGCGUGAGUGCAGAAGGACCCUCGGGUAGUAAGGCUCUUUUGUCAGGGAAGAAACCGGAGUCUCUAAUAUAGGAUUCUAAUGACGGUACCUGAAGAAUAAGCCCCGGCUAACUACGUGUCAGCAGCCGCGGUAAUACGUAGGGUGCAAGCGUUAAUCGGAAUUACUGGGCGUAAAGCGUGCGCAGGCGGUUUUGUAAGUCCGAUGUGAAAUCCCCGGGCUCAACCUGGGAACUGCAUUGGAGACUGCAAGGCUAGAGUGUGUCAGAGGGGGGUAGAAUUCCACGCGUAGCAGUGAAAUGCGUAGAGAUGUGGAGGAAUACCGAUGGCGAAGGCAGCCCCCUGGGAUAACACUGACGCUCAUGCACGAAAGCGUGGGGAGCAAACAGGAUUAGAUACCCUGGUAGUCCACGCCCUAAACGAUGUCUACUAGUUGUCGGGACUUAAUUGUCUUGGUAACGCAGCUAACGCGUGAAGUAGACCGCCUGGGGAGUACGGUCGCAAGAUUAAAACUCAAAGGAAUUGACGGGGACCCGCACAAGCGGUGGAUGAUGUGGAUUAAUUCGAUGCAACGCGAAAAACCUUACCUACCCUUGACAUGGCAGGAAUCCCGAAGAGAUUUGGGAGUGCUCGCAAGAGAACCUGCACACAGGUGCUGCAUGGCUGUCGUCAGCUCGUGUCGUGAGAUGUUGGGUUAAGUCCCGCAACGAGCGCAACCCUUGUCAUUAGUUGCUACGAAAGGGCACUCUAAUGAGACUGCCGGUGACAAACCGGAGGAAGGUGGGGAUGACGUCAAGUCCUCAUGGCCCUUAUGGGUAGGGCUUCACACGUCAUACAAUGGUACAUACAGAGGGCCGCCAACCCGCGAGGGGGAGCUAAUCCCAGAAAGUGUAUCGUAGUCCGGAUUGUAGUCUGCAACUCGACUACAUGAAGUUGGAAUCGCUAGUAAUCGCGUUUAACAUACUACUCAGGAGU